rnacentral:rRNA from 1 species
CGAACGCUGGCGGCGUGCUUAACACAUGCAAGUCGAGCGGUAAGGCCUUUCGGGGUACACGAGCGGCGAACGGGUGAGUAACACGUGGGUGAUCUGCCCUGCACUUCGGGAUAAGCCUGGGAAACUGGGUCUAAUACCGGAUAUGACCUCCUAUCGCAUGGUGGGUGGUGGAAAGAUUUAUCGGUGCAGGAUGGGCCCGCGGCCUAUCAGCUUGUUGGUGGGGUAAUGGCCUACCAAGGCGACGACGGGUAGCCGACCUGAGAGGGUGACCGGCCACACUGGGACUGAGACACGGCCCAGACUCCUACGGGAGGCAGCAGUGGGGAAUAUUGCACAAUGGGCGAAAGCCUGAUGCAGCGACGCCGCGUGAGGGAUGACGGCCUUCGGGUUGUAAACCUCUUUCAGCAGGGACGAAGCGCAAGUGACGGUACCUGCAGAAGAAGCACCGGCUAACUACGUGCCAGCAGCCGCGGUAAUACGUAGGGUGCAAGCGUUGUCCGGAAUUACUGGGCGUAAAGAGUUCGUAGGCGGUUUGUCGCGUCGUUUGUGAAAACCAGCAGCUCAACUGCUGGCUUGCAGGCGAUACGGGCAGACUUGAGUACUGCAGGGGAGACUGGAAUUCCUGGUGUAGCGGUGAAAUGCGCAGAUAUCAGGAGGAACACCGGUGGCGAAGGCGGGUCUCUGGGCAGUAACUGACGCUGAGGAACGAAAGCGUGGGUAGCGAACAGGAUUAGAUACCCUGGUAGUCCACGCCGUAAACGGUGGGCGCUAGGUGUGGGUUCCUUCCACGGAAUCCGUGCCGUAGCUAACGCAU